rnacentral:rRNA from 1 species
AUUGAACGCUGGCGGCAGGCCUAACACAUGCAAGUCGAGCGGGGUUUUCGGACCUAGCGGCGGACGGGUGAGUAAUGCGUAGGAAGCUACCCGGUAGAGGGGGAUACCAGUUGGAAACGACUGUUAAUACCGCAUAAUGUCUACGGACCAAAGUGUGGGACCUUCGGGCCACAUGCUAUCGGAUGCGCCCACGUGGGAUUAGCUAGUUGGUGAGGUAAUGGCUCACCAAGGCGACGAUCCCUAGCUGGUUUGAGAGGAUGAUCAGCCACACUGGAACUGAGACAUGGUCCAGACUCCUACGGGAGGCAGCAGUGGGGAAUAUUGGACAAUGGGCGCAAGCCUGAUCCAGCCAUGCCGCGUGUGUGAAGAAGGCCUUCGGGUUGUAAAGCACUUUCAGUAGGGAGGAAGGGUGUUGUGUUAAUAGCGCAGCAUUUUGACGUUACCUACAGAAGAAGCACCGGCUAACUCUGUGCCAGCAGCCGCAGUAACAC